GAUGAACGCUGGCGGCGCGCCUAGUACAUGCAAGUCGAGCGAACAGACGAGGAGCUUGCUCCUCUGACGUUAGCGGCGGACGGGUGAGUAACACGUGGAUAACCUACCUAUAAGACUGGGAUAACUUCGGGAAACCGGAGCUAAUACCGGAUAAUAUAUUGAACCGCAUGGUUCAAUAGUGAAAGACGGUUUUGCUGUCACUUAUAGAUGGAUCCGCGCCGCAUUAGCUAGUUGGUAAGGUAACGGCUUACCGAGGCAACGAUGCGUAGCCGACCUGAGAGGGUGGUCGGCCACACUGGAACUGAGACACGGUCCAGACUCCUACGGGAGGCAGCAGUCGGGAAUCUUCCGCAAUGGGCGAAAGCCUGACGGAGCAACGCCGCGUGAGUGAUGAAGGUCUUCGGAUCGGAAAACUCUGUUAUUAGGGAAGAACAAAUGUGUAAGUAACUAUGCACGUAUUGACGGUACCUAAUCAGAAAGCCACGGCUAACUACGUG
rnacentral:rRNA from 1 species